UACGAAGGGGGCUAGCGUUGCUCGGAAUCACUGGGCGUAAAGGGUGCGUAGGCGGGUCUUUUAAGUCAGGGGUGAAAUCCUGGAGCUCAACUCCAGAACUGCCUUUGAUACUGAGGAUCUUGAGUACGGGAGAGGUGAGUGGAACUGCGAGUGUAGAGGUGAAAUUCGUAGAUAUUCGCAAGAACACCAGUGGCGAAGGCGGCUCACUGGUCCGGUACUGACGCUGAGGUGCGAA
rnacentral:rRNA from 1 species